rnacentral:rRNA from 1 species
CGGACGGGUGAGUAACGCGUGGGUAACCUGCCUCAUAGAGGGGGACAACAGUUGGAAACGACUGCUAAUACCGCAUAGUAAGAAAGAUUCGCAUGUUUCUUUCUUGAAAGAUUUAUCGCUAUGAGAUGGACCCGCGUCUGAUUAGCUAGUUGGUAAGGUAACGGCUUACCAAGGCGACGAUCAGUAGCCGGCUUGAGAGAGUGAACGGCCACAUUGGGACUGAGACACGGCCCAA